GGCUCGUUGGUCAAGCGGUUAAGACACCGGCCUCUCACGCCGGUAACACCAGUUCGAUUCUGGUACGAGUCACCA
rnacentral:tRNA from 1 species